rnacentral:rRNA from 1 species
GGAGUUAGCCGGUGCUUCUUCUGUGAGUGAUGUCCUUCCUGCCGGCUAUUAACCCGCAGGCCUUCUUCCUCACUGAAAGUGCUUUACAACCCGAAGGCCUUCUUCACACACGCGGCAUGGCUGGAUCAGGGUUGCCCCCAUUGUCCAAUAUUCCCCACUGCUGCCUCCCGUAGGAGUCUGGGCCGUGUCUCAGUCCCAGUGUGGCUGAUCAUCCUCUCAGACCAGCUACGGAUCGUCGCCUUGGUGAGCCGUUACCUCACCAACCAGCUAAUCCGACAUAGGCUCAUCCGAUAGCGCGAGGCCCGAAGGUCCCCCGCUUUCCCCCGUAGGGCGUAUGCGGUAUUAGCCUGGGUUUCCCCAGGUUAUCCCCCACUACCGGGCAGAUUCCUAUGCAUUACUCACCCGUCCGCCGCUCGCCACCAGGGAGCAAGCUCCCCGUGCUGCCGCUCGACUUGCAUGUGUUAGGCCUGCCGCCAGCGUUCAAUCUGAGCCAGGAAUCGAAACCCUCGACGUACGUAGACGGGCGGUCGGUCGACGGACGGCGACUAAG